GGCUCAGGAUGAACGCUAGCGGCAGGCCUAACACAUGCAAGUCGAGGGGUAACAGGGUAGCAAUAUCGCUGACGACCGGCGCACGGGUGAGUAACGCGUAUGCAACCUUCCUUUAACUGGGGGAUAGCCCGGAGAAAUUCGGAUUAAUACCCCAUAACAUCAUAGAAAGGCAUCUUUCAGUGAUUAAAGCUCCGGCGGUUAAAGAUGGGCAUGCGUGCCAUUAGCUAGUUGGUGAGGUAACGGCUCACCAAGGCUACGAUGGUUAGGGGGUCUGAGAGGAUGAUCCCCCACACUGGUACUGAGACACGGACCAGACUCCUACGGGAGGCAGCAGUGAGGAAUAUUGGGCAAUGGGCGCAAGCCUGACCCAGCCAUGCCGCGUGAAGGAUGAAUGCCCUAUGGGUUGUAAACUUCUUUUGUACGGGACGAAACUCCUGGUCGUGACCGGGAUUGACUGUACCGUGCGAAUAAGCAUCGGCUAACUCCGUGCCAGCAGCCGCGGUAAUACGGAGGAUGCAAGCGUUAUCCGGAUUCAUUGGGUUUAAAGGGUGCGUAGGCGGAAUAAUAAGUCAGUGGUGAAAGCCUGCGGCUUAACCGUAGAAAUGCCAUUGAUACUGUUAUUCUUGAGUAUAGUUGAGGUGGGCGGAAUGUGUAAUGUAGCGGUGAAAUGCUUAGAUAUUACACAGAACACCAAUUGCGAAGGCAGCUCACUAAGCUGUUACUGACGCUGAGGCACGAAAGCGUGGGGAGCAAACAGGAUUAGAUACCCUGGUAGUCCACGCCGUAAACGAUGAUCACUCGUUGUUGGCGAUACACCGUCAGCGACUGAGCGAAAGCAAUAAGUGAUCCACCUGGGGAGUACGGCGGCAACGCUGAAACUCAAAU
rnacentral:rRNA from 1 species